rnacentral:lncRNA from 1 species
UGCAAAUCCAAAAUGAAAACCGAAGCUGAUCCAGCUGAAGCCAUCCCUGUCUCCAUCCUGCUAAGGAACCCCAUGAUGUGCACUCUGCAGCACUCAGAAAAUGGGGAGAUCCACAAUCAAGGCUUCACUUUGGGACCUUCAGGAUGCUCGAGUGCAGUCUUCUCAAUCCAUCAGCAAGUUGCCAUGCCCUGAGAAGACACUGCAGUGCCUUCAGUCCUGCACAGCAUCUUCAGGGCCAGAAGCUCCAGCCUUGCUCAGGUCUCUCAAAAAUAGAUGUAUAAACCAGAGCCUAUCUAGAAUGGAUUUCUAGUGCAUUUUGGGCUCCUGUUAUCUCCCCCAAACCCCCUGAAAUGAUGGGCUCCUGGGACCUAAAUGCCUUCAGAGGUGGCAGCUGGGAUAGCCAUGGGCAACAGGGUGCUUUAGAGAGGAAUCUGUUCUCUGUAUUGUUGCAAAUUCUUCUAAGCUGGGCAGAUCCAGGGCAGCACAGUGUCUGGCAG